CCUACGGGAGGCAGCAGUGGGGAAUUUUGGACAAUGGGGGCAACCCUGAUCCAGCCAUUCCGCGUGAGUGAAGAAGGCCUUCGGGUUGUAAAGCUCUUUCGGCAGGAACGAAACGGUCCGUAUUAAUACCUGCGGGCUAAUGACCGUACCUGAAGAAGAAGCACCG
rnacentral:rRNA from 1 species